AUUGAACGCUGGCGGCGUGCCUAACACAUGCAAGUCGAGCGGCAGCGCGGGAGCAAUCCUGGCGGCGAGCGGCGAACGGGUGAGUAAUGCUUCGGAAUCUGCCCAUGUAGUGGGAAGUAACCAGCCGAAGGUUAGGCUAAUACCGCAUACGACCUACGGGUGAAAGACAGGGAGUCGUAAGACCUUGCGCUAUUGGAUGAGCCGAAGUCGGAUUAGCUUGUUGGGAGGUAACGGCUCACCAAGGCGACAAUCCGUAGCUGGUCUGAGAGGACGACCAGCCACACUGGGACUGAGACACGGCCCA
rnacentral:rRNA from 1 species